CUCUCUCCCCUCCCUCCUGGCGCCGCACCGCGCCGCCGCCCUCCUUCCCCCCACGCCGCCGCGGUGCCGCCCACCCUCUCCCUCUUCCCCGCGGCUCGUCCUCGCCGCCCGCCCGCGGCCUGAACCGCCCCCUCCCGUUUUUCUCCUCAUCCUCCUCUCUCUUCCGUGCCCCCUCGCCGGUCGCCGGGACCCACCCCAGCGGCGGCGCGACCCUCCCCGGCCAGAUCCGGCUGGCGGCCUGCACCCUCAACCUUCCCCCAGCGCGAAUCCGACGCGGGAGAAGGCGAACCGGCCGCGGCGGUAGCGAUAAAUCGGCGCGGGCGGUGUGGGCGUUGACCAGUGUGCGCGGCUUCCUUCUUCGGCGGCUUCCUCAGCUGCCAUGGCAGGCAGUCCGAGCACGGGGCACCCGGCCGGCGCAAGGCGCGCCCCCAGUGCCUCCUAUGCCUCGCGCGCGAGCAGCCGGCCGCCCCUGCCCUCCGGCACCACCGCCACCGCUUCGCCGCGCCGCGGCCUUGGGCCUUCUUCUCCCUCUCCCUCUCCGGACCCUACUCUGGACGCCUGGUCUUCCUACGAGCUCCCUCGUUUCUCAGCCUGCUCCACGACCUAGCACCAACCCAAACCCUAGGGAGUCCGGUGAAGCUCCUGCAGCCCCGAUGCCCUCUUUCCCAGCGCCUGCGCCGCCCCUCGCCCCGUCAGCCGGCGCCUCGCCCGUACCCCGACGCCGCCUUGCCAGGCCGCUGCCUUUGAGCACGGCCACGACGUCACCCGCUGCUGCCAGGUUCCUCCGUCCUUCAGAACUUCACGAAAAUAUGGUCCUCUCUAUAUGACUUCCCCCAAAUUGAGUUCAUUCUUGCUCUGAGUUUGCCAUUCCCCCUUCCACCUUGUCGAAUUGAAUCAUGGCGUGUUGACUCAUCUUGUGUUUUUAGUAGAUGAGAAGGGAGAGGAUCAGCUAGAGGAUGAAGAUGCAACAAGUUAUCAAUUGGUGGUUUCUAAAUGUGGCUUUUGGAAUUCUGAUCAAUUUUGCUGUCCUGUGGCCUUAGUUCCUCUCAAUGAAACUUGCAACUGCGAAUCAACUUGACUUCACUUACCUGCGGACCCUCCUGCAAAAAAAUGUAUUUUUUCACCAGAUAAUACAAUUUCCAAGAAUACCUAGAUCAUCAAUCAAGGCACUGGUACUGUACUUAAACUUCUUUGAAUUGAGCUGUUCCAAAUCAGAUAUUGUGGACUCCUAAUUAUCUUUGUAUGCAAUACUAGAAGAUUCUGUUACUAAAAUAAGGUGUUUUAGGACUGUAAGAUUAGGUCCUCUUAGAGUUUUGAAUCAAUAACCACAAGAAAAGUUUAGAGAAAAAACAAGAUAAUAUCAUAGUAGAAAAGGAUAGUUUACUUUAUAGUUAGUACUUCACUAGCUACACACUUGUUUUAUUUUCUUUUUGCAGUAUGGAAUAGCGGAGAAAAAGCAACCAGAAAUGGCAUAUAGUGACAAUAGUUAACCUAUACUCAAAUAAAAUUGCAUAUACGAUCUAAAGUUUCAGUAACUACUUGUUAUUUUACACAGGUUAAUAUGCAGUCAAUUCAUGGUUUUGAAAUGGGGGCCGGAGCACUAAGAAGCUGGGCGGAAAUCAUCAUGCAUGGAACAUUUAAUUCUUUGUAUUAUUCCUAACAAUUUAUUCUGACUUUUAUUUAGGUUGUAAAGGUUGGUUGAAGCUGGGUUCUUACAAGGGAAAGUUAUCUGACAAUGUUAUCAGUUAUCACGAGCUUGGUUUUCAUGGUAGUUCUAAAGUACUUCGAGAUGGGAGAUUUUUUCUUUCUGAACAUUGAUAUUCUCUAAUUGUAAAUAUUCUCCAAUGUCUGAACCAGAAAUUUCAUGGACAAUCCAAAUAAUAGCUUCUUUGUACUUCUGCAUUUGCUUUAUCCGGAGCAACUUGCAGAAGUAUAGAGCAAAAGUGUAUUGUGCUUCUUCCA